GUUUAAAGUUGUUUUUAUUAUUAAAAUCGUUUAACGUGUAAUAAUGUUAAUACUAAUAACAUUAUUUAAGUGAUAACACGUAUUUCAUAGUAAAAAUUUGAUUUCUUCUAGUGAAAUUGUAGGAAAGAUGUAGAAUUAUCUAUGAGGUUAUCUAGAAGGAGCCAAAGGAUAAUUAUAGAGGAAAAGCAACAAGAAACGUGGUGAAAAGGAGCUCUUUCUAGAAACUUUGAAGCUGUGCAUUGAAUAAUACUCAAAAACUAUCUCGGAAACUACUUAACUGAAACUGUAGGAAAGAUGUAUAAUUAUCUAGAUUCAUCACUAAUUAUGAGGUUAUCUAGAAGGAGCCAAAGGAUAUUAAUAGAGGAAAAGUAACAAAAAACGUGGUGAAAAGGAGCUCUCUCUAGAAACUUUGAAGCUGUGCAUUGAAUAAUACCUAAAAACUAUCUCGGAAACUACUUAACGGAAACAGUACAAAGGAUGGACAAUUAUUUAGAUUCACCACUAAUUGUGAGGUUAUCUAGGAGGAGCCAAAGCCAAAGAAUAUUAAUAGAUGAAAUGUCAUGAAGAGGAGCUAGCUCUAGAAAUGUUGAAGCUGUGCAUUGAAUUCUAAAUAAUACCCAAAAACUAUCCUGAAAACUACUUAAUGCCUAUCUGAAAGCGAAUCUGUGGAAGAUCUAACAUUUUCUUGGAAGUGGUUGCUUAUUCUUAUGGCUAAAACAAGAGCUGUAGCUCUUAUGCUACAUCUAGGCAAAUGAAAUAAUUCUUAAAAAACAAUGUUAAGAGUCUUUAGACUCUUAGAGUCUCUUAGAGUCUUUUAGAUUUAUUAUUGCAUGUUAUUAUUUAUUAAAAAAAAUAUCGCGAUGUGUGUUAGUAUAAUAAUAAGCCAGCAUAGUAAUCUAUGGUGGUAACUUUCCAGAAAAUUGCUGAAUAUUCUUGACAAUAGUGGUUUGGGUUGCCUACACCUCAAUUAAUUAAUUUAUUUUUUUUCUCAAAUUACAUCUUUUUAAAAAUAUUUAACAAAAACCCAUCAAUAAAAAAGCACCUACUCAUCCACAAGUCAUAAUCAAUAUAAAUACUAUUUUUAUUGAUAAGGCCCAAAGAGCUUCAGUCAAUUAAUAAGAUAAUUUUUCUCUUUGGUUAAAGAAAUUAUUAAUAAUGAUAUAGACGUCGAUAAUUCUUCAUGAGUAUAUCGUCAUCAGGAUCAUUUCCUCUAAAGAAAUGGAUUUCUUUUCGUUUUUGUGUCCAAAUUUAUGCAUGCAUAUCAUUAUAUAAAAAUAAACUUGUAAUUAUUAUAUUUUGACUAUAAAAAAUAAAUAAAAAAAAGAAAAUA